rnacentral:lncRNA from 1 species
AAGAAUCAAAAUGACUAAAAUGUUUCAUUAAAGAGGUAAAUAUACAUUUAUAUCCCUAGAGUUAACUAAUCCAAACCUUAGGGUUUAGAGUUAAGGGGUGGGGAUUUGGGAUGGAUGUUUAAAAUUUUAUAAAAUAAAAAAUAAAUAUUAAAAAUUUGUAAAUUUGAAAAUAAAAAUUUUAAAAAUAGUUUCAAAAAGUAUUUUUGAAUUACAAAAACAAAUUUUGAAAAAAAAAAAUUAAAAAAAAAGUCGAAAAAACAAUUUCAAAAAAAAAACAAUUAUAAAGAAAUUCGAAUUUGAAAACAUAUAAUCUAAAACUAAAAAGAAAAAAUAAUUUUUUAAUUUUUUUUUGUUUUUUAAUUUUUAAAUUUUUUUAUUAUUUUCAUUAUUUUUUAUAUAUUUAGGGUAUUAGGAUCUUUUUAUCUAUUAAAUGAAAUAUUUUGGCCAUUUUCCUCUUUGUGGUUUAUUUUUGUAACCAAAACUUGAAAAUUGUUGUUGACAAAUAUUUUUUCUGAUAUUUCCUCUGUUACUGUUGUUAGAUACAUAAUGUUUUCUCAACUUGUUAGGCAUCAAAAUUCAUCUUGCGCAUGGAAUCACUUCUCUGUGACAUAUCUUUCUGAAUUACAUUUUCAGUAUUUCAAGAUGAACUGUAACACCCCAAAACUCAAGCCCAAAAAGUUUAUGUGCUUUAAAAGGGAAGGCCCGUUCUGCAGCCCAUUAGGAUUAAAACCCUAGGGUUCCCUUGCCUUUCCCUAUAAAUACAAGCCUCCACCUCCCUUGUCUCUCAUCAGAAAUUCCAGAGCGAAGCUCUGCAGAAAUUCCCGGAGACAAGAAAACCCUAGCCGUCGACUCUCUCUUCUCUCUCUCCUCGCCGCACUCUCUCUCUCUCUCUUGUCUCUCUCCUCACGAUCUCUCUCUCCUGGCCGAUUCUCUCUCUCGUCGCCGUGAGCAGCCGCGAGUGGUGGUGGUGGCCGUUUGGUGUCGUUGAUCUCAGAUCUCAUUUCUCUUUGUCUUUUAUUCCAGAUCCAGAUCCAGAUCUAGGCUAAGGUGAGGUGUUCUGUCCAGAUCUAUCUUAUGUUCCUUUAUAUUGUUGAAUGGGUUGCUAGGAUUGAUUAGAUCCUGUUUGCUGUUAGGUUGAUAGAUCAUAUUGCUUCAGGACCCUCAUACUGAUUAAGAACUUUACACGAACUGGUUUAAUGAUGAUUGAUGAUUGACUGAUUGUUUGAUUGAUUGAAGAUCUGUGGUUUGUGAUUGAGAGCUAGGAUGGUUAGAAAGAAAUGAACGUAGGGUAAUAAUAGAACUGUUAACCGGACUGGUUAGAUGAAUGAUAGGAUAUCUAUGAAUGAUUGUUAAAUGGAUUGAGUGUGACACCGAGAACGGGUGGCGUCUAAAAAGGAAAGUAAGAAAGAGUCUAAGGAUUAAAGAAAAAGGAAAUGAUAAGAAAAAGGAAAUAAAGGAAAAAGGAAAGUUAAAUGAUUGAAAUACGAACCACCGAGGAACUGGUGGGGAGUAUGGGAAAUGAAUAGAAAUGGAAUACGAACCACCGAGGGACUGGUGGGGAGUAUGGGAAAACGCGGCGGCCGUAGCGUUCAAAAACGGCAGGUUAAGAAUAGAGGCGCCGGUAAGAUUGAGUCACGCCGAGUCUUGGCGGGAAGGGGCCGUAAUACACUGCAAAGGGUAUAGACUACAUCCAAGGGAACCGGAUGCCGAGUGUACCAGGGCAGGCGGCUCCACAGGAACGCAGCAAGAAAAGGGGAGGGUUGGUCCGCUUGAGCUGUGUAGGUCCUAGAGUUCUAGGAUGAAUGGAGUCUUAAAUAAUAAACCGGAAUGUGUGAAUUGAGCGAUGACUGAGUUCAUUGCACUGCUUGUUUUGUGAAAUGAAACUUUAAUAGUUAGUUAAGAAAUGGGUGUAGUGACUAGUCGGUUCUCGUUUCGCAUUGAGCAGUAUAAAAGCUCAUGGGGGAGACUGGUCUAGAAUCGCUUCACUGAGUAUUCAUACUCACCCCUCUUUUUCCCUCUCCCUUUUGCAGAACUAUAAGUGGAAAUGUCGAUGGUAAGAAAGGAAACGCACCUGAAACUCAUGGGACCAGAAACGGGACACAUGGAGAUGUCGGGAAAGUAGACAUGUGUGUCCUAAACCCCGCACCCAGGAACCCCGGUUGGAAAUGGGGAAGGGGCGGGUGUUUCAAUUGGUAUCAGAGCCAGGUUAAGGUCCCUUAAUACUAACUUAAGGGAUCAGCGUUUCCGCCAUUGCCCAUUUCCCUUAUGGUUCUGUUAGACCGUCGUAGUUAAUGUUGAAAGAGAAUUCAAGCAGCUCAGAGUCUCCGGCCAACAUCAGAUCAACAAAAAGUCCUCGUACCGCAGUAUGGUGGAGUUUCAGAGGUUCAGGAAUGGGUAACAAGGAGUUGUAAGACAAGUAUACAGAGGGUUCGGUCACCUAGCACGACAAGCUAAGGGGGAAUGGAAAGUCGGACAUACGAACUUGAGGUGAAACGUUUCGUCGGCAACACCACCCCACGCCGGGCCGGGAAGGCCAGGGGAGGAGAGUCGGACGCAAGGCCGAGGUGUGUGCGGUUUCAAGGAAGAGUUAAACCCUGCAAGAAAUAGCAUUCUGUCAUUCCGAUAUUACAGUGAAGCUUGCUCCACAGUAAAAAAAAAAAAAAAAAAAAAAAAAAAGGGGCGCGGGCUCCACCACCUCGGCGUGGGCCUGCCGACGAGGAAGGAGCAAAACCGGGGCGGCCAAGGGACAGUCGGCUGGACAAAAGGAGAAUACCGAUUUCAGAUUACGGUGGCUAAGCUAAGGAUCAUCGUGGGGUAGAAAAGAUCGUCCUGAGGUAAAAAGGAUGAUGGAGAAUCACCAUGGUGCAAAAAGGUUGAUGCUAACAAGGAUGAGGAGGAAAUGGGGUUCAUGGAACAGCAGAACGCCCACACCCGAGAGACGACCGUGAGGCGUCAGGUGCUGAUGCCCCAGUUCCAGAGAUCUGCAGAGUGUAGGCGGAUGUACCAAGACCAUGUGACUUUCCAGUUUGCGCCUGAACACGAAAUGACACCGCCCAUGAUGGGCUGUGGGCACUCCAGGAAGUCAGGAUUGACCGGGGAAGGUCUUGGACCGUUUAGGAUGGAGGUCAGUGUGCCAACGAGGAAGCAUGGACGACCAAGGGAGAUUCCUAACAUUGAUGCGUACCGUCUGAGGAGCAUAACCGAAGUAUGUCAGUGUGGGACACUGAUUAAGGUCAAGCAAGAACCGCGCUCAGUCCGGGAGUACACUGAAGAAUUCCGGGAGACAGCCAAAAGAUGCAAGCCAAAGACAUUGGAGGAUUGGUACCGGUGGUAUAAGGCAGGGCUCCGUGGGGAAAUUCAGGGCAAGCUGAUUGGUGUGUUAGAACCAAGGAAAUUCACUCUGGAGAACCGGAUGGCCGGCCAAGCGAUGGAGGCAGAGCAAGCACUUACCGUCGGGUCAUCGCCAUCUAGAGCUCUAAGGGAGAAGUGGAAGUGGAAGUGGAAGAGGAUCUGCGGAAGACAUUGAUUGUGGAUGAGAGAACCUCGGGAGGAUGUACCGAGCCGUGCAAGUGUGAGAUCCUUGUUGAGAUAGUGUGUAAGCCUCGCCUGGUCCAAGAGUACACUAAGGAGUUCUUAGACAUGGCAGAAAAAUGCAAGUCGAGGCCUGCGGAGGGGUUGUGCCGGUGUUAUAAGGCGAGACUCCGUAGGGACAUUCGAGGAGAGCUGAAUGGAGCCAUGGAAUCAAUGGAAUUUGCCUUAGUGGUGAGGAUGGCAGGGAAGGCGAUGGCAGAAAAGGCGUGGUUGUAAAACAGGUUAUUUAUGUCACAAGUUCUGAACCGAAAGAGGAUCCAUCAGAAGAUUAACAACAAGAGGAUUAUCUGGAACCGUCAGCUAGAGGUGUCCGAGUGUUUGGUUCUGAUUCGAGGCAGAAACGCGCUUCUCCACUUUGUAGAGACUAGCUAAGAUUUUGGAAACAUCUUGUAUGAGUAAGAAUUAUGUUCUUCCUUAUCUACUUGGGGGUUUUGAAAGAAGAUCCUUAGGAAAAACAUUGUGUGCCUCCCUUGAAUGUGUUUGAACUCACCUCGCGUUUUGGGAUGUUAGUGUUCAAGGUCUGAAGAUUGGAAUUCGGGGCGAAUUCCGAUUAACAGGGGGAGAAUUGUAACACCCCAAAACUCAAGCCCAAAAAGUUUAUGUGCUUUAAAAGGGAAGGCCCGUUCUGCAGCACAUUAGGAUUAAAACCCUAGGGUUCCCUUGCCUUUCCCUAUAAAUACAAGCCUCCACCUCCCUUGUCUCUCAUCAGAAAUUCCAGAGCGAAGCUCUGCAGAAAUUCCCGGAGACAAGAAAACCCUAGCCGUCGACUCUCUCUUCUCUCUCUCCUCGCCGCACUCUCUCUCUCUCUCUUGUCUCUCUCCUCACGAUCUCUCUCUCCUGGCCGAUUCUCUCUCUCGUCGCCGUGAGCAGCCGCGAGUGGUGGUGGUGGCCGU